GGGUGAGUAAUGCCUGGGAAUAUGCCUUGAUGUGGGGGAUAACUAUUGGAAACGAUAGCUAAUACCGCAUAAUGUCUUCGGACCAAAGAGGGGGAUCUUCGGACCUCUCGCGUCAAGAUUAGCCCAGGUGAGAUUAGCUAGUUGGUGGGGUAAGAGCUCACCAAGGCGACGAUCUCUAGCUGGUCUGAGAGGAUGAUCAGCCACACUGGAACUGAGACACGGUCCAGACUCC
rnacentral:rRNA from 1 species